rnacentral:rRNA from 1 species
UACAGAGACUGCAAGCGUUAUUCGGAUUCACUGGGCGUAAAGGGUGCGCAGGCGGCCGUGUGUGUGAGGCGUGAAAGCCCGGGGCUUAACCCCGGAAUUGCACCUUAAACUACAUGGCUAGAGCAUUGGAGAGGGUAGCAGAAUUCAUGGUGUAGCAGUGAAAUGCGUAGAUAUCAUGAGGAAUACCAGAGGCGAAGGCGGCUACCUGGACAAUUGCUGACGCUCAGGCACGAAAGCGUGGGGAGCAAACGGG